rnacentral:rRNA from 1 species
UACCAGCACCCCGAGUGGUCGGGACGUUUAUUGGGCCUAAAGCAUCCGUAGCCGGUUCUACAAGUCUUCCGUUAAAUCCACCUGCUUAACAGAUGGGCUGCGGAAGAUACUAUAGAGCUAGGGGGCGGGAGAGGCAAGCGGUACUCGAUGGGUAGGGGUAAAAUCCGUUGAUCCAUUGAAGACCACCAGUGGCGAAGGCGGCUUGCCAGAACGCGCUCGACGGUGAGGGAUGAAAGCUGGGGGAGCAAACCGG